GAAGCCCGCCAGACUGCCGCUGGUGCAAUCUGGGAAACCAGGCACUGGAGGAACGUCCGGACUGCAUAGGGCAGCGUAGCAGCUAACGGCUGUCCACUGAAAGCCGCAAGGUAUAAGGUGAGGAUUAGAGCAACAGAGACGAGCCGAUUCAGUUCGGGUGAAACGGGCAAUCUCUACGCGCAGCAAUACCAAGUAGGCACACGUUGACGGGGCCCCCGGAGUGUGCGGGUAGGUAGCAUCGAGCUGUUGGGUGACCAGCAGCCCAGAGUAAUGGCAGUCACUUCUGCAGGCCCGCAAGGGUCUGCAGUUGCACAGAAUCCGGCUUAUCGGUGGGCUUCACAC
rnacentral:RNase_P_RNA from 1 species